rnacentral:misc_RNA from 1 species
UACGGAGGGUGCGCGCGUUAAUCGGACUUACUGGGCGUAAAGCGCGCGUAGGUGGUUCGUUAAGUUGAAUGUGAAAGCCCCGGGCUCAACCUGGGAACUGUAUCCAAAACUGGCAAGCUAGAGUACGGUAGAGGGUGGUGGAAUUUCCUGUGUAGCGGUGAAAUGCGUAGAUAUAGGAAGGAACACCAGUGGCGAAGGCGAACACCUGGACUGAUACUGACACUGAGGUGCGAAAGCGUGGGGAGCAAACAGG